CAGGAAGCAAUGCAGGCCAAAACCUAGGAAGAAACCUAGAGAGGAACCAGGCUCUGAGGGGUGGCCAGUCCUCUUAUGGCUACGCGGGGUGGAGAUUAUAAACCUAGAGAGGAACCAGGCUCUGAGGGGUGGCCAGUCCUCUUCUGGCUACGCGGGGUGGAGAUUAUAAACCUAGAGAGGAACCAGGCUCUGAGGGGUGGCCAGUCCUCUUCUGGCUACGCCGGGUGGAGAUUAUAAACCUAGAGAGGAACCAGGCUCUGAGGGGUGGCCAGUCCUCUUAUGGCUACGCCGGGUGGAGAUUAUAAACCUAGAGAGGAACCAGGCUCUGAGGGGUGGCCAGUCCUCUUAUGGCUACGCGGGGUGGAGAUUAUAAACCUAGAGAGGAACCAGGCUCUGAGGGGUGGCCAGUCCUCUUAUGGCUACGCGGGGUGGAGAUUAUAAACCUAGAGAGGAACCAGGCUCUGAGGGGUGGCCAGUCCUCUUCUGGCUGUGCCUGGUGGAGAUUAUAACAGAACAUGGCCAAGAUGUUCAACUGUUCAUAAAUGACCAUCAUGGUCAAAUAAUAAUAAUCACAGUGAAUAGUUCAGGGUUCCAUACGCGCAGGCAGAACAGCUGAAACUGGAGCAGCAGCACGGCCAGGUGAACUGGGGACAACAAGGAGUCAUCAUGCCAGGUAGUCCUGAGUCAUGGUCCAAGGGCUCAGGUCCCCAGAGAGAGAGAGAGAGAGAGAGAGGGAGAGAUACUUAAAUUCAAACGGGACACUGGAGAAAUACUCCAGGUAUAACAGACUGACCCAAGCCCCCCGACACAUAAACUACUGCAGGGUGAAUACCGGAGACUGAGACAGGAUGUCGAUAUGUGAACUUCACAAUAAUAUGUCUAAAUCUACCAUUUACUUGAAUGUGUCUACAUCUAUUUACAUUAAUAUGUCUAUAUCUAUUUAUAUUAAUAUGUCUACAUCUAUUUACAUUAAUAUGUCUACAUCUAUUUACAUUAAUAUGUCUAUAUCUAUUUAUAUUAAUGUGUCUACAUCUAUUUAUAUUAAUAUGUCUACAUGUUCAUUCACUUUUACACGUCUACAUCUGCCAUUUAUAUUCAUAUGUCAAAUCAAAUCAAAUGUACUUAUAUAGCCCUUCUUACAUUAGCUGAUAUAUCAAAGUGCUCUACAGAAACCCAGCCUAAAACCCCAAACAGGAAGCAAUGCAGGCCAAAACCUAGGAAGAAACCUAGAGAGGAACCAGGCUCUGAGGGGUGGCCAGUCCUCUUAUGGCUACGCGGGGUGGAGAUUAUAAACCUAGAGAGGAACCAGGCUCUGAGGGGUGGCCAGUCCUCUUCUGGCUACGCGGGGUGGAGAUUAUAAACCUAGAGAGGAACCAGGCUCUGAGGGGUGGCCAGUCCUCUUAUGGCUACGCGGGGUGGAGAUUAUAAACCUAGAGAGGAACCAGGCUCUGAGGGGUGGCCAGUCCUCUUACGGCUACGCGGGGUGGAGAUUAUAAACCUAGAGAGGAACCAGGCUCUGAGGGGUGGCCAGUCCUCUUAUGGCUACGCGGGGUGGAGAUUAUAAACCUAGAGAGGAACCAGGCUCUGAGGGGUGGCCAGUCCUCUUCUGGCUACGCGGGGUGGAGAUUAUAAACCUAGAGAGGAACCAGGCUCUGAGGGGUGGCCAGUCCUCUUAUGGCUACGCGGGGUGGAGAUUAUAAACCUAGAGAGGAACCAGGCUCUGAGGGGUGGCCAGUCCUCUUACGGCUACGCGGGGUGGAGAUUAUAAACCUAGAGAGGAACCAGGCUCUGAGGGGUGGCCAGUCCUCUUAUGGCUACGCGGGGUGGAGAUUAUAAACCUAGAGAGGAACCAGGCUCUGAGGGGUGGCCAGUCCUCUUAUGGCUACGCGGGGUGGAGAUUAUAAACCUAGAGAGGAACCAGGCUCUGAGGGGUGGCCAGUCCUCUUAUGGCUACGCGGGUGGAGAUUAUAAACCUAGAGAGGAACCAGGCUCUGAGGGGUGGCCAGUCCUCUUAUGGCUACGCGGGGUGGAGAUUAUAAACCUAGAGAGGAACCAGGCUCUGAGGGGUGGCCAGUCCUCUUAUGGCUACGCGGGUGGAGAUUAUAAACCUAGAGAGGAACCAGGCUCUGAGGGGUGGCCAGUCCUCUUAUGGCUACGCGGGGUGGAGAUUAUAAACCUAGAGAGGAACCAGGCUCUGAGGGGUGGCCAGUCCUCUUAUGGCUACGCGGGGUGGAGAUUAUAAACCUAGAGAGGAACCAGGCUCUGGGGGGUGGCCAGUCCUCUUAUGGCUACGCGGGGUGGAGAUUAUAAACCUAGAGAGGAACCAGGCUCUGAGGGGUGGCCAGUCCUCUUAUGGCUACGCGGGGUGGAGAUUAUAAACCUAGAGAGGAACCAGGCUCUGAGGGGUGGCCAGUCCUCUUCUGGCUACGCGGGGUGGAGAUUAUAAACCUAGAGAGGAACCAGGCUCUGAGGGGUGGCCAGUCCUCUUCUGGCUACGCCGGGUGGAGAUUAUAAACCUAGAGAGGAACCAGGCUCUGAGGGGUGGCCAGUCCUCUUAUGGCUACGCCGGGUGGAGAUUAUAAACCUAGAGAGGAACCAGGCUCUGAGGGGUGGCCAGUCCUCUUAUGGCUACGCGGGGUGGAGAUUAUAAACCUAGAGAGGAACCAGGCUCUGAGGGGUGGCCAGUCCUCUUAUGGCUACGCGGGGUGGAGAUUAUAAACCUAGAGAGGAACCAGGCUCUGGGGGGUGGCCAGUCCUCUUAUGGCUACGCGGGGUGGAGAUUAUAAACCUAGAGAGGAACCAGGCUCUGAGGGGUGGCCAGUCCUCUUAUGGCUACGCGGGGUGGAGAUUAUAAAUCUAGAGAGGAACCAGGCUCUGAGGGGUGGCCAGUCCUCUUAUGGCUACGCGGGGUGGAGAUUAUAAACCUAGAGAGGAACCAGGCUCUGAGGGGUGGCCAGUCCUCUUAUGGCUACGCGGGGUGGAGAUUAUAAACCUAGAGAGGAACCAGGCUCUGAGGGGUGGCCAGUCCUCUUCUGGCUGUGCCUGGUGGAGAUUAUAACAGAACAUGGCCAAGAUGUUCAACUGUUCAUAAAUGACCAUCAUGGUCAAAUAAUAAUAAUCACAGUGAAUAGUUCAGGGUUCCAUACGCGCAGGCAGAACAGCUGAAACUGGAGCAGCAGCACGGCCAGGUGAACUGGGGACAACAAGGAGUCAUCAUGCCAGGUAGUCCUGAGUCAUGGUCCAAGGGCUCAGGUCCCCAGAGAGAGAGAGAGAGAGAGAGAGAGGGAGAGAUACUUAAAUUCAAACGGGACACUGGAGAAAUACUCCAGGUAUAACAGACUGACCCAAGACCCCCGACACAUAAACUACUGCAGGGUGAAUACCGGAGACUGAGACAGGAUGUCUACAUGUGAACUUCACAAUAAUAUGUCUAAAUCUACCAUUUACUUGAAUGUGUCUACAUCUAUUUACAUUAAUAUGUCUAUAUCUAUUUAUAUUAAUAUGUCUACAUCUAUUUACAUUAAUAUGUCUACAUCUAUUUACAUUAAUAUGUCUAUAUCUAUUUAUAUUAAUGUGUCUACAUCUAUUUACAUUAAUAUGUCUACUUCUAUUUACAUUAAUAUGUCUAAUUCUAUUUACAUUAAUAUGUCUCCACCUUCUAUUUACAUUAACAUGUCUACA